rnacentral:lncRNA from 1 species
GAGUAAAAUUGUGACAAUCAUAAUAAUUGAUAUAGGUCCUCGUGGAAUUGGAUUUGACUGUCACUUGGUAGACAUUCACCUUUGUCUGGUUGUUUUCACGUGUCCUGUCUCACUAAUUUAAGGUUUUGAGUCUAACUUGCAUGGACUACGUGGCACGUUUCACGGUGAUAUUCUGUAUACACUUUCCUCCAUAGGAUUCUAAACUAUGUGUGGAUUUACGAUUUGUCUACGUGCUGAUUGUCGAGUUUGUGAUUUUAUGCUUAUUGUUGGCUUCGAUUGCAUAUUUGGUUCCAUGCUAUUUUUUUUUUUUUUGGGAUUAUUUUCCACUAUUACGUAAUUCACUUGUUUUUUAAAAUAGUUUAGGGCAAAUUUCGUAAUUUGUUGAAUAUUGUGCCGUAUUUCUUAAAAUUCAAAUUUCUAGUGCUAUUUUUGACAUUUGGUUUCUCGCUCGAGUUUCGCCUAGCCUUCGCUCGAGCUACAAAAGCAGUUUGCUUGUCGCCCGAAUCUCGCUAAGGCCUCGCUCGAACGACGGGUCAAUUUUAAAAGGUCCUGUUUCAUUUUUUCGCGCAACUUCUUCCAUUUCACUCUUGUUUUUUCGUUUCUUCUUGACUUCUUCCAUAUUUCGUCCAUUGAUCACAUAAAUUCGGGGCCCUAAAACAAUUAUUCUUCCGGAUUUUCAUUGCUACACAUCAAAUUGAGGUAUUUUUUUCUUUUUUCUUUUUUUUCUUUCAUUCUCCUCGUGUGUUUUGCUUAUUUUUGUGUUCUUGUUUGAUUGUUCUUUCAUUAAUGUAGGCUUCGUCCUUCCUUUGUUUCAUUGGAUGUAAUUUCACGCGUUUUGCAUCACGAUUUCCAUUGAAUUGUUCGUUUUUCAUUCAUUUGGUUAUGUGGUUUUCAUGUUUUUCUUCCAUUUUCAUUAAGUCCGUUCUUGCAUUUCGUUACUCCGUUUCUUGCGUGGUUUGUUUCAUUUUAAAGAGCAUGUUUUCUAGUUUGUGGGACUGUGCUUGGUUGUGUGGUUGCGUCUCGUAUGUACUUGAAAUUGUGUACCAAAGUGAUGCACGCCACAUGUACAAUGCAAGUCCUUAGUUAUAUGUUUUUUUUUUUGUUUCCUUCAUUUUUGUGCUUCUAUUUUCUUUCUUUCCUUUCCGUCGUUGUUUCAUUGCCCUCCCGUGCCAUGUUGAGUGUUUUUACACAUAUUUUUGGUGUAUAUUUACAUCAUGCUUCGUUUGCUCUACGGGUCGUUCACGUUUUUCGAUGCAUCUCUUUCGUGCCUCGUUUAGCUGUGCAGUGUUUCACAUCAUAGUGCAUCGUAUCACGUGCAUUCUUCAUCUUACUUAUUAGUUCCGUCUCUCUGUAUGCCAGAUGGCCCGUAAGCAGUCUCGAUCCUCUGCAUAGCCAGCUGGUGGUUCGACGUCGUAUAGUCGUUCCAGAUUCAUUUCUGCUACAGCUCAGGAGGUCUUCACUUCUCAGUUCUCCUUACGCCCCGUUCUCGUGGAGCGUGAGAUAAUCUUAUCUGACCUUCCUGUUGAUAUCGUCGCCAUUUUUGUUUCCCGGGAUUGGGAGCCCCUUCUUGUUGGUCUUUCACCUCCUCCCCCACUCCUCGUUCAGGAAUUCUAUGCUAAUAUUCAUGAUAUAGACGGCUCGUCUUUUCGGGUUACUCUUAGAGGUCAUUCUUUUAGGAUUACUCCGUCGGUUGUAGCUCAUGCUUUAGGUAUACCUCAGAUUACCCAUCUGACUUGUCCCUAUAUUUUACCUGCUUCUAUUUCGGCCGAUGCUCUUGUUCGAUCGACGCUUUUGAACACCCCGUCUAUCGGGGGGCCUUCGGCGAUGGCCACGGGGUCAUUACCUACUGAUCGUCAGGUGUUGUUACACAUAGUGUGUACAAACCUGUGGCCGGUUACCCAUACCUCUUCAUUACCUAUGGUGCGUGCCCGUUUUCUUUAUGCCCUUCUUCAUGGGGACUCGAUCAACUUUCCUAAUUUUGUGUGCCAGAAUAUUCUGGCUUCAUUUCGUACUCCUGGGAGUCGGAUCGUGUUGCCUUAUGCUUGCUUGAUUCAUAAGGUUGCUUUGUCGUUGGGUGCUUCCUUUCCAGAGGGUUCGACUUGUCGCAUAGGACGUCCGAUAGGACAGCAGACCAUUCAUCAGAGUCGAUCCCAUGUACCGUCAUCUUCUCCUCUGCUCAUGCUACAGGUCAGGCAGCGGCCGUUGAUGUUUUGGAUCUUUCGGAGCCCUUUGAUCCUAUUACUGAGAUUCUUACUGGAGGUUCCCGUGUGUUUCUCCCGCCUCGUACGGAUUUUCCUUCGGCCAAUCCACUUAGUUCUACCUUUCCUUCGACAUCUAAUUCUGCUCCUGGGGUGGCUGCUUUGCCCGUUGACCCUAUGGUGACGCUUAUGGGACAGAUGUCUACUUUGGUCGAGCAGCAGGCUCGUAUGAUGGCAGAGAUCACGUAGUUACGUACUGCGUCGGAGCGUCAAUCAGCUGAGCUUUCUUCUUUUCGUCGUGCUCUUGCAGUGCUUUAGCGUCAUUUGCGUUGGAUUCGUGAUAGUAUGGAGGAGGACACGAGUGCUGAGAGCGGAGCUGAGUCUUCAGAUGCUGGAGGUGCUGCCUCGUAGUUAGUUAGUUAAUUGUUUUGAUCCUUUGUCCUUUGUGACAAAAAGGGGAGUAGAUAUUUGGAUAGAUAGAUAUAAAUUUUUUGGUGACUAGAUUAAGUUUUUGAUGUUUUGGCAAUACUAAUGUAUGUCUUUGGUGUUUUUGACUUACAUUAUUAUUGCUUCUUAAUCUGGUUAAUGAUAUAUGAUCUAUUUUUUGUUUUUAUUUACUGUUUCCAUUUCACAUGCUUUUACACUUGGUAUUUGAGUUUUUGAUUUUCAAGAAAUAGGUUCAACAAGAGAUUGCUAAUUUGGUUGAAUAGAUAGGUUGUUUGAAGUCAUGUUUAUUUCUUCCUUGACUGUCAUAUGUAUUUUUGUCACAGAAUGCCAAAGGGGAAGUUUGUUAGGAAAAUGUGUAAUUGGCAAUCUGUGACCAAAGGGCCUAUUUGUCAUGUUUGUAAAGUCAGGGACUAAAUUGUAAAGGUCAAAUAGUUCAGGGACUAGAGUUGCAAUUUAAUAAAUUUCAUAGCAUAGGUCUAGGGUAAAGUGGCAUGCUUUGAAGAUGCAAACGGCGCGUUGAUUUCGCUAGAGUUUCGCCUCGAGCCAAAAUUGCAGAACCGGUCUCGUUGGAGUUUCGCUGGGCAGUCGCUCGAACGAAGGUGCGUCGCUCAAGUUUCGCCAGCACCUCGCUCGAGCGACAGUGUUAUCUGGCCAUUGGUAAUUUUAAUGCCUCGCGAAUUUUUAACGCUCCAUAUUUCCAAAUUUGACCUACUAUAUAAACAAAACGUUCGACUUUCAUUAAAUACUUUUGGAAAACAUUCAAACAAGAACUUCUUUUAACUUCCAAAGGAUUUAGAGUCAAACAUUCGAUCUUUCUCAUCUUUUGAUUCUCAUGAUUUUUAAAUAAAAACAUCAACCAUCACAAAACAAAAAACACCCCUUCAUAUCUCCAUAUCAACUUCCAGAAGAUCAUCUGUUUGAAGAUCCGGGAAGGAAAUUGCUUGAAGAGCUGGAGUGCUUGGUGAUUCACGGGAAGUAGAAGAUAUUCAAGGUUGGGAUUUUAGCGCAGAUCUGCAGAAUCCAGGAGAGCUUUGGUUGAUACAGUAAGGAGGUCAGAGAAUUGUUAGUUUCAAUUAUGUCUGGCGUACUGUAAGUCAAUAUCUUCGAUAGUGGAUCUCUACUAGCUUGUGCCCGGAGUUUUUACCCAGUUGGGUUUUCUCCGUCAACAUUUUGUGGUGUUUUUACUGCUUUUUAUUAUUUAUUUUUCAACCGGUAAUUCAACUUAGGUAGAUAAAGUGUGUGAAUGAAUAUAAGCAAUGCAUAAUUUAUGUGACUUGUUGCAUAAGUUAAUUAAUUGUUUUAAUUCCGCAUAAACACCUAUUCACCCCCCCUCUAGGUGUUGGUUGGGUCGAACUAUAUCUUUUUCAGUUUAGAAAAUGGAUGGUAUAUGGUUCGUCUGAGAUACCUUGUUGGUGACACUCUGGAAAAUCAAGUUGUAUCUCAGGUUGGAACUUGAAGAAGGGGAACAGAUUUGUUGACUUGGAAACCACAUAAAAAUGGCUUAUUCACUUUUAAAUCUGCUUAGGAGGUAGUGAGGAUGCAGGAUGCUCAAGUUGAAUGGGCGACCUGGAUAUGGAACAACGCCCUGCCUAAGUGUGUUUCCGUGAUCAUGUGGAAAGCUCUUAAUGAAAGUCUAAGUGUUGAUGAACGCAUUAAGUCAGUCGGCAUUACUCUUGCAUCAAAAUGAGAUUGCUACUCCAUAGGCCAACGAGGAAAAUGCAUCUCAUGUUCUAGGCUCUAGCGACUUUGCGGACAAAAUGUGGAGGAAAGUAGGAGCUAUGGUGGGUGUGUGAUGGAGGGCAAGAAAAAUUGGAUGGAAAGAAUAAAUUUAUGGUAGGCAAGAGCAAAAAGAUCACCAAAGGUAGGAUGUUUGAUUGGUUUGCUCCCAAGUUUAAUUACUUGGAAGCUUUGGACAAGAAGAUAUAAAGCAAGGAUGGAGGAUAAGAAUGAAUAUGUUGAGGAUGUGCUUUUAUCUAUUAAAUUCUGGUUACAACAGGUUUCUCUUAACCUGUCAAAUGCAAAAGUGCUAACUAGUCAUGAUGAGUAUGUUCUUCAAAUGCUAGAGGUCCUCGAGCACCAAUCAUAACUAAGCAGAUUCGAGUGGUUUCGUUGAAAAAACCAUAUCAUAAUCUAGUGAAACUCAAAGUGGAUGGUAGCAGUCUUGGGAACCCUGGACAAAUUGAUGGGGGAGGAGUAAUAAGGAAUGCAAGAGGUGAAUUGAUUUUAGCUUUCAGUAGCAAUUUUGGUGAGGGGACCCACAACGAAGUUGAAUUGGGAGCACUUAUUGAAGGUCUAAAACUAUGUCGUGAGUUGGGCGUAAACCAUAUUGAUAUCGAGUGCGAUUCAUUGUUGGUAGUUUCAUAGACUUCAUCUUUGAAGUGUUCUUUGUGGCAUCUAUGGGACUUCUGGGAUAUCUUUUGAAUUUAUUACAGCAAUUUGAAUAUCAGGUGGCACAUCAAUGAAGUGAGGGGAACCAAGUGACAGAUCACUUAGCUAGAUUAUGAGCAAAAGGCCUAUGGAGACGUUUUAAUACCUGGACUGAUGUAUCAAGGAUUGCUCGAGGGUUACUUUGUCUAGAGAUGAUGGGGGUAGCGUAUUGGAGGAAGUGAGAUGUAGAACAGGCUAUGGUAGUGGUGUCUUUUGUGAUUGAAGGUGUUUUAGUUCACAUGUUUUGAUAACUGUUUUGGUAUAGCGACGUUGUUUGAGUCUUUCAUCACGGUUUUCCUCCAUCACAAAUGAGGGAUUUUUAAUAAAUUAUUACUUAAUUAAAAAAAAAUGCAGCAUCAACUCAGGAUUUUCAUCCACAAGAUCUAUCUUCAUCAAUUACGAGAGUGAAUUCCUCCUAUGUUAACUUUAAUGUCCAAUGAAUUCAAAUUUGUCUCAGCACAAUCCACUUGAGCAUGUGAAUUGUGACGGCAAAAGAGAAAGGGUCAAAGAUGUGUGAGCUCAAUGAAUAGUCGUGUAUCGACCACAAGAUUAUUAAGCCGACAAAACUCUCUUUAUAUAUAUUGCCUUCCAAAUGCUACAAUUGAAAUAUUCCUUCUAAGCAUCAUCUUGUAGUCGGUUGUUCUACUCAACCCAAAUACAGUUAAUGGAAAUUCAACUAAUACUUUAAAUGAAAAUUACCUUCAAUCCCUGUGUAAGGGUCCGAUCCCCAGGUCCAUGGUUUUUGAUCCAUACAUCCGCAAGAACAUCAUUUCCUAAUGCAUCCUUGGCUACGAUUCCACCACCAGACCCUCCAGUCCUGCUCUUGGUUCGCAUUAACAUGUAACAUUGUGAUGUAAGAAAUGACAGAGCAAAGAAACUAGUCAACAUAGUAUAGACAAAACGUGAAUUGGCAAAGACUGCACGGAAAUUUCCCAGUUCACGAAACAGAAGAACAAAAAGAAGACAGGCUAUUGUUUUACAUCCAUUAAUGAAAGCAAUUGAAUUUAUAGCCUUAUAUAGGAUAAAAAUAGAAAGUAAAUGUUACACCAUAUGAUUAUUAGGUGACCAUC